UAUGCCAAAAAACCUAAAUAAGAUAUUUUUCCCAUUUUAUUUUAUUGUUCGUUAUUUGGUUCAGUUUAAUCAGAGCUACCUUGUGUUACGUUGUUCCCUUGUUAGUUUAGUAUAAAGUUAAACUGCUAGCUAAAAGUUUAAAACCAAGAAGGAUAAUAUUAACAGGAGAUAUGAACGAAAGAAUUGAACCAUGAUAAAACGCGACAUGCACUACAAAUUGAAGGUAUGAAAUUAAGUUAAAUGAAAGCUCGUUUAUUCACCAUAUGAUGCUCGUUAUAAGGUAAUCAUAUAGGCUAGAUACUGUGAGUUAACAAGGUCGUUUACAUGCACGUGAGUGCACGGAUAUCGGUUAAUUAUUCAAAUUACAGAAAAACACGGAGAAAACCGCAACCGCAUCGUCAUGUGUUUUUCUAAGAUGUAUGCAAACAGGUGAAAUAUCGCCAAACCAACCAUUAAUUUGACCAAAACCUCACAAUAUAUCAUCAUUUGUAUGCACAGAUUGGAUGCAUUGUGUGUUGUAAGCUUUUCGUGGCGCUAGAGGUCAGACAGAUGCAAAUGGCAAAUACAUACGAAAGUGUAAAACGUGUAUGGCGAACAUUUGUUUUUUUCUGUCAUUAUAGAUGCUAGUUUGGUGAAAGUUCACACUGAGUGCUUCAAAUCAUUCAGAAGAGAUGCUGUUUUUAGGGCAGUUUAUUAAAGAAGACCUGACAUGGAUGACUUCCAAUGAGAAACGACUGCUAAUACUUAUAUAAAUUCAUUACAGAAGGACCCUACCAGACUAUAUUUGAAUACGGCAUACCCAUGAAUUCUGGAACUGUUAUUCCUUAACCCAGUUUGGAGGAUAAGAGCUUACCAACUAGUUAUAAAUAUGCUGAGGUGAUGUAUUUCAAAAUAGCCAACAUACAACAAUAUGGAUGACCCUCUGUCUGGUCAACAGGACUUUAAAUAUGGACGGGACAGUGAUGUGGCAGCUCUUCCCUGGCUCAUUCACCUCUUGCCUUUCAUUUGUGAAAGGAAGAAAGAAGAAAGAGGGUCAAUGUGCAACUGAAGCUACUGAUUGUGCUAUGUGAUGAGCAUCAAUCCAUGCUUUGAGGGGAAUGAAUCAGCACAGCCCUGCCUGCACUGCGUUGGGAACAGAAGUUGCAUCCAGAAUUUUUUGCAUCAUUCUGGACCAAAAAGCCAUUCCCUCCAUGAUGAAGACCACUGAUGCAGCCUUCCACUACAUCAUGAGUAAAACAACUACAGAACUAAAUACCAGGUUGGAACGUAUUUAAGAAAAAUGAAACGUCUUUUGAAUUGAAAUGUCUGUUUUGUUAUGGAAAAAUCUUUAGUAUUGUGAAGGAUAAGCAUUUCUGCCUGCCAGUAAGGUAAUUGCAGUGUAUUUUAAUGUUCAAGUUUUGAGUAGGGUGGCUAAUUUUUUUUAACUCUCAUUUGAUAUAUUAAAGACCUUAUAAUAAGUGGUUUUCAUGUCACUGCGCUGUGGUAUAAGAUAACUUUCAUUAUUCCAUACUGUAUUCUGUUUCUAAUUGUAGCUGAGGUAUUUAAAUAAGCAGUGUUAAAUGCAAAGUGUUGUGUGUAUCAAUGUAAAUAUUAAAUGUGAUGUACUUUAAUAAAAAGAGGUUUUGCAAUA